UACGGGGGGGGCAAGCGUUGUUCGGAAUUACUGGGCGUAAAGGGCUCGUAGGCGGCCAACUAAGUCAGACGUGAAAUCCCUCGGCUUAACCGGGGAACUGCGUCUGAUACUGGAUGGCUUGAGUUCGGGAGAGGGAUGCGGAAUUCCAGGUGUAGCGGUGAAAUGCGUAGAUAUCUGGAGGAACACCGGUGGCGAAGGCGGCAUCCUGGACCAACACUGACACUGAUGAGCGAAAGCCAGGGGAGCAAACGGG
rnacentral:rRNA from 1 species